rnacentral:tRNA from 1 species
GGGCGAUUAGCUCAGUUGGUAGAGCAGUCGCUUUACACGCGAAAGGUCGGGGGUUCAAAUCCCUCAUCGCCCA